rnacentral:rRNA from 1 species
GAUGAACGCUGGCGGCGUGCCUAAUACAUGCAAGUCGAGCGAACAGAUGAGGAGCUUGCUCCCCUGACGUUAACGGCGGACGGGUGAGUAACCCGUGGAUAACCUACCUAUAAGACUUGGAUAACUUCGGGAAACCGGAGCAAAUACCGGGUAAUAUAUUGAACCGCAUGGUUCAAUAGUGAAUGCAGAUUUUCACGUCAAUUAUAGAUGGAUCCGCGCCGCAUUAGCUAGUUGGUAAGUUAACGGCUUACCAAGGCGACGAUGCGUAGCCGACCUGAUGGGGUGAACGGCGACCCUGGAACUGAGAAACGGUCCAGACUCCUACGGGAGGCAGCAGUAGGGAAUCUUCCGCAAUAGGCGAAAGCCUGACGCAGCAACGCCGAGUGAGUGAUGACGGUCUUCGGAUCGUAAAACUCUGUUAUUAGGGAAGAACAAAUGUGUAAGUAACUAUACACGUCUUGACGGUACCUAAUCAGAAAGCCACGGCUAACUACGUG